UUUAAAAACACUAAAAUUUUAUAAAAAAUAAGAAAGAUAUAAAAAUAAAGAAAACUGCCAACUAAUCACAGUUAUUCACUCAGAAAUCUAUAGUGGUAUUCAGAGUAAUACUAGUGGAAAGACAAAGAUGAUGGAAGUCUCAAUUAGAAGAACUUCUCUCUCCCAGAUAUCAAUGUCAGACACAAACUGCACUAUAGGUAUCCAAAUCUUGGAGGAGUUUCCUCUGAGCUGUGGACAUAAUACUUGUCCAUCCUUCUUCUUUAGGACCUUUUUCUUAGGACAAAAAUAAUAAAGGCCAUAGCUCUCAGAGAAACAACUGUGCCAUCUCAAACUCUUGACUUUGCAAUAAAGAAAUGAAUGAUAUAAAUCCUCUGACAUCCAGGAAUCAUUAGAUCAGGGAAGUCCAGAUGCUUCAGUGAAGCUUCCAGAUCUUGAUUCCCAUAUGAGUAAGGCUCAGAUCAAGUCUAUCUCUUCAGUGAUACCACUCAACCCCUACCAAGGGCUCUCUGAACUUUCCCAGUACCACUUAUUUCUUCAUUUUUUUAAUACUAAGACAGAAGGCAAGCUUCCUUCCUCUCUUCUCUGAUCUCUUCAUCCUGUUUGUACUCCCUCCCAAAUGGCUGUUUACUCUGAAUAAGUGGCCUAUUAGUAAACUGGAGAGGUACUGAAGGAAUAUCUGAGAGGCAGUUCCUGUCAGGACAAUACUUGUUACAUCACAGAAGAAGCUAGGGCUCUCCAGUUACAACAGAUUUUUCAGGUGGUGCCUAUUUAUUAUGUCACUGAUAACUGGCAGGGCCUACCUACUGAACAGCUUUCCUUACAUUGACCAGAUUCAAGGGUGUCCUUUCUAGGUCUGUCUCCUUUGGCACAGUGGAAACCUUUACGUACUCCAUCUCUCUAAAGCUACAGAAUUCUCUCUGCAUCACUCGUGGUUACAUGCUCUGAUGGAGAAAGUUAGUCAGGGCCUUGGCAUGUGUCCCAAAGAUCUAAGAAUAUGGAGUGCAGGAGAUUCUACUGGAUAAUAAUUUUAUCCCUAGUUCCAUUCCUCUGGCUUAUAGUACAAUUUCCUCAGAUAUCUCUCUUUUCUAAAGGCCAGUAUUUUCCCUACAGACCUUUAGUUUAGUGAAUAUUUUAUUAAAAUUUUUUGUACAUUCCUUGAUAGUGGAAUAUAUAUAUUGCUGAAUGUGUACUCAAAUGUUCUAUUAUCCUAUUCCAUUUUUUUGUUAUGAUUUUGAAACAAAGGGGCCCAGCUCUAUAGUUCUGAAUAUCUUGUAUUUACUUAAAUGAUAAACUCCCAAAUCCUUAUUUUAUCCAAAAAUUACCAGAUAUUAGUAAAAGAAACGACAGCAUAGACUAUAUGAUGCAUUUCUGUAGUCGCAUUAGAUAGCAGUUCUCUAAUAUCUAUCUUCCUGUGUUUCAAGGGCCAGACUUGAGGGUUUUGGAUGCUUUACCAUGAUUCUUUCUGCAGUCCAAAAAUAAGGUUCAUGUCAUGGGCUGAGGGAUGAGGGGCUUGAGGUCCAGUGAAUCUUUUACUUCAAUAGGUUCAUAAGAAUAGGAUGGAGUCUCUUUGGCUUAGUCAUUUGUGGAUUCUAAAUUCUUGACCUAGUUUCACAGAAUCCUUGUUAAAAAUCAACGAAACACCCUAGCUGUAUGAGGCACCAAAUAUAUCUUAGCCAUUCUGAUUGGUGUGCUGUGGAACCUCAGGAUUUUUUUUUAUUUCCAUUUACCUAGUGGCUAAGAAUGUGGAUAUUCCUCAGUUGAGAAUCCAUUGUUCAGCUCUACACACACACACACACACACACACACACACACAUACACACACACAGACACACACACACACACAGACACACACACACACUCAGCAACCAAAUGUAGAUAAGACUGAUGAAGCUAAGGAGUCUAUGCUGCCAGUGAACUGAAAACGGACAUCUUUUUGGUAGAGUUUGAGAAAGGAUUAAAAGAGCUAAAGGUGCUUUCAACCCUAUAAGAACAACAAUGAUAAUGAACCAGAGAUUUCUGGUACUAAACCAAUAUUCAAAGACUAUACAUGGAUAGAACUAUGGCUCCAAUGGCAUCUGUGGCAAAGGAUAGCGUUGUUGGUCACCAAUGGAAGGAGAAGUCCAAUGGAAGGAGAAGUCCUUGGUACUGCCUGGGUUUGACUCCAAGUUCAAGGGAAAGUCAGGGGGCAGUAAGGUGGGUUAUAUAAGAAGGUUAGCGGAUUUAGAUAGGGCAAUUAUGGAAAAGAAACUGAAAAAGGAAAUAACAUUUGAAAUGCAAAUGUAGAAAUAUCCAAAUAAAAAAGCAAUAAAAUUGUAUUAAAAAUAAAAAAAAUGAAAGAAAGAAAAGAAACCUGCCAGAUAAUCAAACCUAUUGACAGAGAAAUCCAAACAGUCACUGUCUGGAAAUGGUAUUCAGUGUAAUACUAAUGGAAAGACUGAGAUGAUGAAGUCUCAACUAGAUCCCUUCCAGAUAUCAGUGUCAGACACAAAUUGCACUACAGGUAUACAAAGCUUGGAGGCAUUUACACUGAGUUGAGGACACAAUACUUGUCUUUUCUUUGUUUCUUUGGACCUUUUUCUUCAGGGCAAAAAGAGUAAAAGCCAUGAGCUCUGAGGAGAACAACUGUGCCCUUCCCAACAACUAGCUUUUGGAAUGAAGAAAUUGAUUAUAUAAAAACUCUGAUUUACAGGAACCAUAAGAAAAGAGAAGUCCAGAUGCUUCUGAGAGGGUCCCAGCUCCUGAUUUGCAUAUGUGGAUGGCUCAGAUCAAGGCUAUCUGUUCAGCAAUACCAGUCAACCCCUACCAAGGAGUCACUGAGUUUUCCCAAGCACACAUAUUACUUCCCUUUUUUAGACAAAGACAGAAUGGCAGUUUCCUUCUACCCAUUUCUGAUCUUUUCAUCCUCUUUGUUCUUACUCCAAAAUGGAUGUUUAUUCUGAAUUAGAUGCCUAUUACUGAACCCUAGAGGUACUGAAGGAAUACCUGAGAUGCAGAUGAAGUCAUGACAACAAUUGUGACAUCACAGAAGAAAAAUCUCUCCAGGUUACAAGAGAUUUUUCAGGCAAGGCCUAAUGAUGAUAUCACUGAGAACUGCCAUGGCCUACCUGCUGAACAGCUUUCCUUACAUUGACCAUAUUUGAGGGUGUCCUUUCCUGGAACCACUUGAAGCAGGGAAGUCCAGAUGCUUCUGACAGGCUCCGAGCUCCGAGCUCCUGAUCCCAUGUGUGGAAGGCUCAGAUCAAUUCUAUCUCUUCAAGACAGGAGGGUAGCAUUAUUGUCCUCUGCAAGACUCAACAGAGCAGCCGACUGACACACGUGCACAGACAUACGGCCAAAUAUCGAAUGGAGCUCAGUGAGUCUCACUGAAGGGCUGAGGGAAGUGCAGACAGAGACAGAGGAGCACAAUGAUCUUCAGAACUAAGAAAAUCCAAUUUGUACCUGAGCACUUGACUCAAAAAUUGCCUUCUGCUCUCCUGAAGAUGAGACUACGAACCCUACUAUAGCUGGGAAUGGUAAUCCAGGUUGAUUCACUAAUCUUGUGGGCUACUGCCAGAUCCUGGCCAGUACCCAUGCCAGUUCAUAGCAAUUCAACUGUUUUGCCAAACUUUUCCUCUGCCUCCUGUUUGUGUGAUGCUCCCUGUAUUUUGCCAAAUGGAGAAAUGCCCCAAUGCUAUGCAGCCAUUAACUUUUCCCUGUCGCAUACCUUAUGUUUUAUUUUAAGAACUCUUCCCUGCCGUGCAUUUGGUUGCGUAGAGCCACAUUUCAAUAUUCAAUAUAAUAUAAGCUCUAAUGUGAGCAAUAUACCCAUUUGGUAUCUGGUCUCCUAUUAGUUAAUCAAAGGAUAGUUUAGUUCAAGGACAAAUUGAAGCACUGUAUCAUAUUACGCAGCUGUCCUGCUUUUCUUCCCAUAGAGGCUUAUGCAUUACUCCUUUGCAAGUUAACUUUUCUCAGCAUUCUCAACAGAGCAAAGAAAUCUUGAAUUAUCUGAAAGGGAACUAUUCCAUGAAAUCAGAGCAACUAUCAAGACAAUUGCUGAUGUAGAUUACUGACUUAACAGCACUAGGUUGGACCCUAUCACAGUUGAAGAUUUUACGUCAUGGAUUGCCAAUGCUUUCUCCCUUUAUUAAGGAGUGGGCUGGCAUGUUUGCCUGGGGAGCUAUUUUCCUCCUUGGAUGCAGAGUAUGUCUCCAGCUUAUUGGCCAUUUAAAAAGACAACAUGUCAGACACAAAGCGGUUGUUUACUAGGCUAUGAUCAUCCUUGAAAAUGGUGCUUCUCCCAAAAUAGGGCUGGCCUCUUUAUAAGAUUAAGUGUUCGCCCUAGAUCAUUUUUGUCAUUGUCAUGUGGAGUCAUUGUAUCCAGAGAUGGGUAAAUUUCCUCGAGUUCGGUCCAACCUGAGACAGGAGGCCCAGGUGUUGUAUGUGAACCCAAUGACGGGUAAGUCUGAGUCAUCAUCAGCAAUGACCUAAGACAGGAGCAAUGAAAAGAAUGACAUUACACCCAGAUCUAGACCAUUCAUAUUAUUAAACAAAAAAGGGGGAGAAAUGGGGAGCAGCAUGGUAAAACAAAGAUGGCGCAGACAUCCUGUCCCGUGUGGUAGUAAACGACUUAUCGAGGAUGAAUAGGCUUGUCCACUUGCCAGGGCGGCCUUAUGAUAAUGAGGUGAUCCGGAGCCCUGCUGUGGUGAACAACGGUAUUUGCAUACUGCUCAUGCACGGAAUUUGCACCUGGCAUCAGUUGGAUGGGACAGUAAUGUGCUAAUGAGGGAUUCAUGCUCUGCCAAUCCAUGAAGGACAAGUAGCAGAGUAAUAGUGGGGUGAUUCGUGAUCCACCAAUCCCUGAAGGACAAUUAGCAUAACCACAGCCUCUUCUCUACAUAAGGCGAGCACUUUUGCCGCUCGAGUUCCCCUUAUCAGUAAAGAGGUGAUCCCGCAAUAAAGGCUGUUAAGAAGAAUCCCACUGUGUUGCGUAUUCCUUGCCAGCCGAGGUGGACGUGACACUUCAGAAUAAAAGUCGUAGAAAGAUCAGGAAUUGAAGGCCCAUUUCUAAACAUAGUGAAAGAAAUAUACUGUAAACCUCUAGAUAACAUCAAACUAAAUGGGGAGUAACUUGAAGCAGUCUCACUAAAAUCAGGGACUAGAUAAGGCUGCACCACUUUCUUCCUACUUAUUCAAAACAGGACUCCAUGUCAUAGACAGAGAAACCAGACAACAAAAGGAGGUCAAAAGGAUACAAUUGGAAGGUUAGAUAUCAAAAUAUUACUAUUUGCAGAUGAUAUGAUUGUAUACUUAAGUGACCCCAAAAGUUCCACCAGAGAACUACUUAAUCUGAUAAAUAACUUCAGCAAAGUGUCAGGGCAUAAAAUUAACUCAAACAUACCAGAAGCCUUCUUAUCCUAAAUGGAUAAACAAGCUGAGAAUGAAAAUAAUGAAAUCAUACACUUCACAAUAGUCCCAAAUAAUGUAAAAUAUCUUGUUGUGUGAUUUACCAAGAAGGUGAAAAAUGUGUAUGACAAGAAAUUCAAGUCUCUGAAGAGAGUAAUUGAGGAAGAACUCAAAAGAUACAAUGAGCUUCCAGGCCCAUGAAUUGACAGAAUUGAUAUAGUAAAGAUGACCAUUUUGCCAAAAGCAAUCUACACAAUCAAUGCAAUCCCCGUCAAAAUUACAAUUCAAUUCUUUAAUAGAGAGAGAAAGAGCAAUUUUUAAAAUCAUUUGGAAUAAGAAAAACCCAUGAUAGCUAAAACUAUCCUCAACAAUAAAAGAACUUCUGCGGGAACCACCACCCCUGAACUCCAGCAGUAUUACAGAGCAAUAGUGAUAAAAACUCCAUGGUAUUUGUAAGGGACAGACAGAUAGAGAGUGAAAAAGAAUUGAAGACCCAGAAAUGAACCCACAAACCUUUCACUUGAUCUUUGUCAAUGGAGAUAAAUCCAUCCAAAGGAAGAAACAUAACAUUUUCCGAAAAGAGGGCUGGUUGAACUGGAAGUCAGCAUGAAGAUGAGUGCAAAUUAUACCAUUUUAAGAACAUGUACAAAGCUUAAGUACGAGUGAAUCAAGGACCUUCACAUCAAACCAGAUACACUCAAACUAAUAUGUAGGGAGCGGCUAAAGAUGGCUCCGACAUCCGGUGAUCAUUAGUGAUAAACAACUACAAGGUGCAUGUGUUGACAUUUCUCCAGCAGUUAUCAGACUGGAGUGAUAUUCAUGUUAAUAAGGUACUUCAUACUCCACCAAUCCCCAGAGAACAAAUUUACAACCACAGCCUGUCUUGUAUUUAAGUCAGGUGCCU